AAACGUCAGGGGCAAAGUACAGGAAGCCGUUCGGGCUUGCACGAGAAGGCUUCCUGCCAUUUGCCCCGCCUAAUGCCGAAAACGUAAUAAAAAGUUGUAAACAUAACUUUUUAUGGGACUUUGAGGUAUGGGAUUACGGGAAUUGCGAAGCAAUGGAGUAAUCAGGAGGUAG
rnacentral:ncRNA from 2 species